CUUAUUUCUUCUAUUUUUCAAUUAUUUCUUUAUUCUCUGAAUACUCAAAUAUUUGCCAGAGAUCUUUAAAUACUCAGGGCACUACCAUUUGAAAAACAACUUGAAUAUUUAUUAUGUGUGUGUGCAAACAAUACAAACCCAAGAAAACAUAAGGGGGAUUUGUUAACUAGAACACAUUGACAUUUAUCUUCUGAUGGAAAAAAAAAAAAGGCAAUCUAGCUGUGAAGGAAGAGAAUACAAAGGACAGGUAAAUGGGAAACUAAUUCCAAUCAUGUCAUAGUGUGUGACAUAUUGUGUUCAAUAAGUUUUGUAUUUUAUGUUUCUAACUGCUUUCCCAAAUUCACCCUCAUAAUGUGCUUUUAAGUUUUUAUUAACAUAACACAUUGUGCAAGCAUAGUAUUUAUUUUUGGUAAGAUGGCCAUUUUUACUGUUAGUCUUGCCAUGCCUUGGGCAUUAGAGGUCUUUCCAUCUUCUUAUAUCUUCUUCUAUUUCUUUCUUCAGAGACUGGAAGUUAUUUCACACAAAUCUUUGACUUGCUUCAUUUAAGUCACACCAAGGUACUUUAUGUCUUUGUGGAUAUUGUGAAGGGUGUUGUUUCCCUAAUUUCUUUCUCAGCCCAUUUGUCUUUUUUAUAUAGGAGUGCUACUGAUUUUUUAAGAGUUUCAUUUUUUACAUUAAUUACAGUUUAUUCACUUUGUAUACCAGCUGUAGUCCCCUCCCUCUACAGCUCCGAAUCCUCCCCUCCCUCCCUCAUCUCCUCCUAUGCACCUCUCCAGGUCCAUAGAUAGAGGAAGUUUUUUUUGUUGUUGUUGUUUUAUUUGUUUGUUUGUUUGUUUUUGAGUUAAUUUUGUAUCCAGCCACUUUGCUGAAGGUGUUUAUCAGCUAUAGGAGUUUCCUGGUAGAAUUUUGGGGUCACUCAGGUAUACUAUCAUAUCAUCUACAAAUAGUGAUACUUUGAUUUCUUUUUUUCCGAUCUGAAUCCCGUUGAUCUCUUUUAAUUCUCUUAUUGCUUUAGCUAGGACUUUAAGUACUAUGUUGAAGAGAUACAGAAAGAGUGGGCAGCCUUGUCUUGUUUCAGUUUCAAUUUCAGUGGGAUUGCUUUAAGUUUCUCUCCAUUGAGUUUGAUGUUGGCUAUAGGCUUGCUGUAUAUCACCUUUACACUGAUUAGGUAAGUGCCAUGUGUCCCUGAUCUCUUCAAGACUUUAAGCAUGAAUGGGUGUUGGAUUUUGUCCACUGCAUUUUCAGCAUCUAAGGAAAUUAUCAUGUGGGUUUUCUCCUUCAGUUUGUUUAUAUGAUGGAUUAUAUUGAUGGAUUUCUGGAUUUGAACCACCCCUGCCUACCUGAGAUGAGGCCUACUUGGUCAUAGUGGAUGAUAUCUUUGAUGUGUUCUUGGAUUCGGUUUGCAAGUGUUUAGUUGAAUAUUUUUGCAUCAAUGUAUAUAAGGGAUAUUGGCCUGAAAUACUCUUUCUUUUUCCGGUCUUUGUGAGGUUUAAGUAUCAAGGUGACUAUGGCUUCAUAGAAUGAGCUUGGUAAUGUUUCUUCUGUUUCUAUUUUUGUGGAAUAGUUUGAAAUAUAUUGGUGUUAGCUCUUCUUUGAAGGUCUGUUAGAAUUCUGCACUGAAACCAUCUGGCCCUGGGGGUUUUUUUGGAGGGGAGUCUUUUAAUGACAGCUUCUAAUUCCUUAGGGAAUGUAGGACUAUUUAAUUGAUUUACCUGGUCUGAUUCAGCUUUGAUAAAUGGAAUUGAUCAAGAAAAUAAUCCAUUUAAUUUACAUUUUCAAAUUUUGUGGAGUAUAGGUUUUUGAAGUAAUGAUCGUUUGGAUUUCCUCAGUGUCUGUUGUUAUUCCCUUUUUCAUUUCUGAUUUUGUUCAUUUGGAUAGUGUCUCUCUGCCUUUUCAUUAGUAUGACUAAGGGUUUGUCUAUCUUAUUGAUUUUCUCAAUGAACCAGCUCUUGGUUUCAUAGAUUCUUUGAAUUGUUUUAUUUGUUUCUAAUUUAUUGAUUUCAGUCCUGAGUUUGAUUAUUUCCACCUGUCUACUCAUUUUUGAAGAAUCUGCUUCUUUAUUUUUUUCUAGGGCUUUCAGGUGAGCUAUUAAAUUACUUGUAUGAGAUGCUUCGAUUUUUUUUCCUGAAGGCACUUAGUGCUAUGAACUUUCCUCUUAGCACUGCUUUCAUUGUGUUCCAUAAGUUUUGAUAUGUUUUGCCUUCAUUUUCAUUGAGUUCUAGGAAGUCUUUAAUUUCUUUCUUUAUUUCUUUCCAGACCCAGCUGUCACUGAGUAAUGAGUUGUUCAGUUUCCAUGUGAUUGUAGGCUUUUUGCCAUUUCUGUUGUUGUUGAGGUCCAGCUUUAGUCCAUGGUGUUCAGAUAGGAUACAAGGGACUAUUUCAAUCUUCUUGUAUCUGUUGAGGCUUGCUUUAUGACCAGCUAUAUGGUCUAUUUUGGAGAAGGGUCCAUGUGGUGCUGAGAAGAAGGUAAAUUCUUUUGUGUAUGGGUGAAAGGUUCUGUAGAUAUCUGUUAGGUCCAUUUGAUUCAUGACUUCUGUCAAAAUCAUUGUUUCUUUGUUUAAUUUCUGUUUUUUUUUUUACCUGUCCUUUGUUGAGAGUGAGGUGUUGAAGUCUCCCAAAUUAAUGUGUGGGGAUGUAUGUGUGGUUUAGUUUUAUUAAUGUUUCUUUUACAAAUGUAGGUGCUCUUGUAUUUGGGGCAUAGAUGUUCAGAAUUGUAAUGUGUUCUUGGUGGAAUUUUCCUUUGAUGAGUAUGAAAUGACUUUCCCCAUAUCUUUUGAUUAAUUUUGGUUGAAAAUCUAUUUUGAUAGUUAUUAGAAUGUUUAUUUCUGCUUGUUUCUCGGGUUUAUUUGCUUGGACAACCAACUUCCAGCCCUUUACUCUCAGGUAAUGUCUAUCUUUGUGACUUAGGUUUGUUUCUUGUAUGCAUCAGAUUGCUGGGUCUUAUUUAUUCAUCCAUUCUGUUAGUUUGUGUCUUUUUAUUCUUUUUAUUGGAGAGCUGAGUCCAUUGAUGUUGAGAGAGAUUAAUGGCUGGUGGCUGUUAAAUACUUUGAUUUUGCUGUUGGCUGUGUUGGUGUGUUUGUGUGCUUGGCUACUUUUAGCAAAGCUGUAGUGAAAUUAUUCAUUUCUUGUGUUUUCCUGACUGUAGCUAACUUUCCUGGGUUGUAUUUUUCUUUCUAUUAUCUUCUGUAACACUGGAUUUGUAGGUAGGUACUCUUUAAAUUUUCUUUUGUCAUUGAAUAUCUUAUUUUCUCCAUCUAUGACUAUCUUGCUGUGUAUAAUAGCCUGGGAUUUUUUUGUUUGUUUGUUUGUUUCUCCAUGAUAUCUGUCCAGGCCCUUCUGGCUUUCAUAGUCUCUGUUGAGAAGUCAGGUGUGAUUCUGAUGGGUUUGCCAUUAUAUGUUACUUGGCUUUUUUCCCUCGCAGCUUUUAGUGUUUUUUCUUUGUUCUGUGUACUUGCUGUUUUGAUUAUUAUGUGGUGGGAGAAUUUUCUUUUCUGGUCUAAUUUAUUAGGUCUUCUGUAGGCCUCUUGUAUUCUUAUAGGCUUCUCCUUUAUGUUGGGAAAAUUUUCUUCUAUGAUUUUGCUGAAAAUAUUUUCUGGGCCUUGGCAACAAGAAUCUUCUUUUUCUCAGUUCUUAUUAUUCUUAGGUUUUGUCUUUUUGUGUUGUCUUGGAUUAUUUAAACAGUUUGUGUCCAGAAUGUUUUAGAUUUAACAUCUUUGAUGGAUUCAUUGAUUUCUUCCAUUCUAUCUUCCACACCUGAGAUUCUUUCUUCCAUCUCUUGUAGUCUAUUGGUUAUGCUAACCUCUGUAGUUCCUGUUUUCUUCCCUAAGUUCUUCCUCUCCAUAGUUUCCUCCAUUUGUGUUUCUUUAAUUUUUCCAAUUCUAUGUUCAGAUCUUGAGCUGUUUUGUUGAUUUCCUUCACCUGUCUGAGUGCAUUUUCCUGUUUUUCCUUCAGUUCCUUCACCUGUUUGUUUGAACUCUGUUUCUUUUAUUUCUUUUAGUACUUAAUUAUUUCCUCUCUGAAGGCCACAAACUGUUUGGCUAUAUUUCCUUAAGGAUGACAAUAAUCUGUUUAACUUUAUCUUCUUACACAUUUUAUUUGUUUCCUCCAUUAAUCUCUUAAUAAGCAUAGAUGUAAGGUCAUCUCCUUAAAUUUCACUUAUGAAAGGUGUCCAGGGCUGCUUGCCUCCUGGGUUCUGGAGAUGCCAUAUGGCUUUGGCUUUUGUUGGUUGUGUUUUUACACUUGCUUCUACCCAUCUACUGGUUUCAGGUAUUGGCUGUUAGUUUCUGGUACCUGGAAUCCUUGCAUGGGGAGAAUCCCCUUGGCAGGAAGAUGGUGAUUCCUGAAGGAGGCCUCCUCAGCUUUUUGGGUAGAUCAGCUGAGUGCCCUGUGGUCGAAUCUUUUGUUUCCUUCACUGUGGGGUCUCCACCUGACAGAGACAACCAUCUCUGGUGCCCUGUAGCCCACAGUUACAUCUGGGAAGGUGAGUUGUCGCAUGGGAAGUCUGCCGGACCCCAGGAACUUUUCCAGGGAUUGUCCGGGUGAUCUGAAGUCAAUCCAAUUGCUUCCUUCACCAUGGGUUUUUUUUCUCUACUGGAAAUCCCAGUGUCUGAUGUUAUGGUGCCCACAGUUCACUCUGGGAGGGUGAACAGAGCAUGUAGACAUGUGGCUCUGGACUGGCAACUGAGCGCCUACCGGGAUUGGGGAACUCUUCUGUUCUGUCUCUUGGUCACAGUGUAGUCACUCACUGCUGUCCUGCUCAUCAGGCACAGUGUCCUCUUAGCGCUGCCAUCUUGGAUCAUCCCAUAGUAUUUAUUUUUAGUUAUUGUUUUAUGCAUUAAACAUUUUGGAACAGAAAAAGUAUUUAAUAUAAAAAGAUAAUGUUAACACUUUUUAUUCUUCCAUAAGUUUAUACUUAAUGAGGAUUUUUAUUUUUGAAUGUGUCAUUAAUUUAUUGUUUAAUUCCUUAAUCACUGAGUGUACGUAACAUAUCUUUUAUGGCAGAUAUAUUUAAAAGGACCGUUUUUUUUUCUUUUUAAAGAAAUUUUCUUUAACGAAUAUUCUUGAGAAUUUCAUACAGAUAUAAAAUGAGACAUAGUUAUAUUCAUCCCACAUUUCCUCUCCAUCUCUCCUGUAUCAACUCUCUCCCAAGUUCAUGCUCUCCUUCUGUUCUUCUUCUUCUUCUUCUUCUUCUUCUUCUUCUUCUUCUUCUUCUUUAAAUCCCAAUAGCCCACUAAUUCCAGGAGGUGCUCUGCAUAUUUGCUUGGGAAUAAUGGCAAGCACUGUAUCAUGGGAAACCUCUCAGCAGCCAUGCCUUCCAAAGAAAGAUUUCCUUUCUUCAGGGGUUUACAUUUGCUAAUAGAUGUUUAGUAUAAAGGAUGACAUGGAUAGCCUUCCUCCAUCACUGCUGGAAGUUGGAAUGGGCUGAUUUUAUACACAGCUGUGUAGAUAACCACAGCUGCAGUGAGUUCAUGAGGGAAAGAGCCUGCUCCUCUCCAGAAGGUUGCAGUUCACAGCUCUUUUUCUCACCCUCUUGCUCUUACAUGUUUUCUACCUCUUCUUGCACAUUGUUCCAUAAACCUUGAAAGAAAAAUAGGGCUGAUAAAGGUGUUAGAUUUAGUGCUGAAUACCCAGUCUCUUAUUUUCAGCAUUUUUACCAGUUACACCUCUCUGGAUAGAUUUUUAAUCUCUGAAAAAUGAAGCUUCUCUGACCUAAGUUUAUUACAGCUCAGGUUUAUGGGGAUAAACAUAAACAUUUAGAUAGCAGCUUGACAAUAUGAUCAUUUAGCAAAAUAACAUCAAUAAGUUGUAUCCUAGGGUCUAUGACUUCUCCGUCCUUGGGCCUGUUAAUACAAAUACAUUUCUGGGUAUGAAAUUCCCUGCUAUAGGCUUUGAAACCAACCAGAAAGUACUUUGGUACCUUGUGAUAGUCACAUUUUUAUUGCACCAGUGCAGACCCAGGAUGGUAACUUGAUCUGACCAGAGAUAAGGCCCUUAAGGAUCCAGAGUCAGAGUAGGGAUGAGAUCUGACACAGGGUGAGGUCCAAAGGUGGGGGGGGGUUA